rnacentral:rRNA from 1 species
UACGUAGGGAGCAAGCGUUGUCCGGAAUCAUUGGGCGUAAAGCGCGCGUAGGCGGCCCUGUAAGUCCGUUGUGAAAGUCAAAGGCUCAACCCUGGGAUGCCGGUGGAUACUGUCGGGCUCGAGUCCGGAAGAGGAGUGUGGAAUUCCUGGUGUAGCGGUGAAAUGCGCAGAUAUCAGGAGGAACACCAAUGGCGAAGGCAGCACUCUGGGACGUGACUGACGCUGAGACGCGAAAGCGUGGGGAGCGAACAGG